GAUGAACGCUGGCGGCGUGCCUAAUACAUGCAAGUCGAGCGAACAGACGAGGAGCUUGCUCCUCUGACGUUAGCGGCGGACGGGUGAGUAACACGUGGAUAACCUACCUAUAAGACUGGGAUAACUUCGGGAAACCGGAGCUAAUACCGGAUAAUAUAUUUAACCGCAUGGUUCAAUAGGGAAAGACGGUUUUGCUGUCACUUAUAGAUGGAUCCGCGCCGCAUUAGCUAGUUGGUAAGGUAACGGCUUACCAAGGCAACGAUGCGUAGCCGACCUGAGAGGGUGAUCGGCCACACUGGAACUGAGACACGGUCCAGACUCCUACGGGAGGCAGCAGUAGGGAAUCUUCCGCAAUGGGCGAAAGCCUGACGGAGCAACGCCGCGUGAGUGAUGAAGGUCUUCGGAUCGUAAAACUCUGUUAUUAGGGAAGAACAAAUGUGUAAGUAACUAUGCAUGUCUUGACGGUACCUAAUCAGAAAGCCACGGCUAACUACGUG
rnacentral:rRNA from 1 species